GAUGAACGCUGGCGGCGUGCCUAAUACAUGCAAGUCGAGCGAAUGGAUUAAGAGCUCGCUCUUAUGAAGUUAGCGGCGGACGGGUGAGUAACACGUGGGUAACCUGCCCAUAAGACUGGGAUAACUCCGGGAAACCGGGGCUAAUACCGGAUAACAUUUUGAACCGCAUGGUUCGAAAUUGAAAGGCGGCUUCGGCUGUCACUUAUGGAUGGACCCGCGUCGCAUUAGCUAGUUGGUGAGGUAACGGCUCACCAAGGCAACGAUGCGUAGCCGACCUGAGAGGGGGAUCGGCCACCCUGGGACUGAGACACGGCCCAGACUCCUACGGGAGGCAGCAGUAGGGAAUCUUCCGCAAUGGACGAAAGUCUGACGGAGCAACGCCGCGUGAGUGAUGAAGGCUUUCGGGUCGUAAAACUCUGUUGUUAGGGAAGAACAAGUGCUAGUUGAAUAAGCUGGCACCUUGACGGUACCUAACCAGAAAGCCACGGCUAACUACGUGCCAGCAGCCGCCUCGG
rnacentral:rRNA from 1 species